rnacentral:rRNA from 1 species
GACGAACGCUGGCGGCGUGCUUAACACAUGCAAGUCGAACGGAAAGGCCCUGCUUGCAGGGUACUCGAGUGGCGAACGGGUGAGUAACACGUGGGUGAUCUGCCCUGCACUUCGGGAUAAGCCUGGGAAACUGGGUCUAAUACCGGAUAGGAGCCAUUUUUAGUGUGAUGGUUGGAAAGUUUUUUCGGUGUAGGAUGAGCUCGCGGCCUAUCAGCUUGUUGGUGGGGUAAUGGCCUACCAAGGCGGCGACGGGUAGCCGGCCUGAGAGGGUGGACGGCCACAUUGGGACUGAGAUACGGCCCAGACUCCAACGGGAGGCAACAGUGGGGAAUAUUGCACAAUGGGCGCAAGCCUGAUGCAGCGACGCCGCGUGGGGGAUGACGGCCUUCGGGUUAUAAACUCCUUUCGCUAGAGACGAAGCUUUUUGGAACGUUACCUAGAUAAGAAGCACCGGCGAACUACGU